rnacentral:rRNA from 1 species
CCUACGGGAGGCUGCAGUGAGGAAUAUUGGUCAAUGGGCGAGAGCCUGAACCAGCCAAGUCGCGUGAAGGAUGAAGGAUCUAUGGUUUGUAAACUUCUUUUAUAUGGGAAUAAAGUGAGGAACGUGUUCCUUUUUGUAUGUACCAUAUGAAUAAGCAUCGGCUAACUCCGUGCCAGCAGCCGCGGUAAUACGGAGGAUGCGAGCGUUAUCCGGAUUUAUUGGGUUUAAAGGGUGCGUAGGUGGUUAAUUAAGUCAGCGGUGAAAGUUUGUGGCUCAACCAUAAAAUUGCCGUUGAAACUGGUUGACUUGAGUAUAUUUGAGGUAGGCGGAAUGCGUGGUGUAGCGGUGAAAUGCAUAGAUAUCACGCAGAACUCCGAUUGCGAAGGCAGCUUACUAAACUAUAACUGACGUUGAGGCUCGAAAGCGUGGGGAGCAAACAGGAUUAGAUACCCUAGUAGUC